rnacentral:rRNA from 1 species
GACGAACGCUGGCGGCGUGCUUAACACAUGCAAGUCGAACGCUGAAGCUUGGUGCUUGCACUGGGUGGAUGAGUGGCGAACGGGUGAGUAAUACGUGAGUAACCUGCCCUUGACUCUGGGAUAAGCCUGGGAAACUGGGUCUAAUACUGGAUACGACAUGUCACCGCAUGGUGGUGUGUGGAAAGGGUUUUACUGGUUUUGGAUGGGCUCACGGCCUAUCAGCUUGUUGGUGGGGUAAUGGCUCACCAAGGCGACGACGGGUAGCCGGCCUGAGAGGGUGACCGGCCACACUGGGACUGAGACACGGCCCAGACUCCUACGGGAGGCAGCAGUGGGGAAUAUUGCACAAUGGGCGGAAGCCUGAUGCAGCGACGCCACGUGAGGGAUGACGGCCUUCGGGUUGUAAACCUCUUUCAGCACGGAAGAAGCGAAAGUGACGGUACGUGCAGAAGAAGCGCCGGCUAACUACGUG